rnacentral:rRNA from 1 species
AUUGAACGCUGGCGGCAGGCCUAACACAUGAAAGUCGAGCGAGCGGCGGACGGGAGAGUAAGGUAUGGGGAAUGCCCGAUAGAGGGGGAUAACUACUGGAAACGGAGGCUAAUACAGCAUACUAUCAGAUAACACAUAUGGGAUUAGCUAGUAGGUGGGGUAAAGGCUCACCUAGGCGACGAGCCCUACCAGGUCUGAGAGGUUGAUCAGCCACACUUGCACUGAGACACGGCCCGGAUGCCUACGGAGGCAGCAGUGGGGACUAUUGCACAAUGGUCGCAAGCCUGAUGCAGCCAUUCCGCUUGUAUGAAGAAGGCCUUAGGUUUGUAAAGUACUUUCAGCGGGGAGGCGUUACCCGCAGAAGAAGCACCGGCUAACUCCGUGCCAGCAGCCGCGGUAAUUC